AGUAAAACCACUGCAUGAGUAAAAAUGACAUUGUGGAGACCAGAUGUUUUAGAGGAUAGAACCCAAAAUGCAGUGUGUGGGUAAUCAAAAAGUGCUGAGGAUGAGGGUUUUCCUCCUCCUUUAUUUCCUACACUAACAAGAGAUGCCAGCUGUGAAGCAUUAAUGAAGUACAAAUUUGCCCAGUCAUCAGACGAGGAAUUUGUUUCUACUCUUAGCUGCAUAAACUGCUAUUUGCCUCAAGUUUGAAGCAAUGCUGAGAAGCUUUGCACCUGACUUGACUUGAAAGUGCUAAUAGCUAUUCUAAAAGCAAAAUCAUCCCCUCUCCUGAGAGCUGUAUGAGUAUAAAUCAAAGCCUGUGCCUGCUGUUGCUGCAACAGUGACAAAAACAAAAUAGACAUCUGGUGUGUUUCACUAUAGUAACUUCUAUGUUCAGGAGAACUUUGAAGUGCUUCAAGAAUUUCUUCCUAUAGUUAUCUCACAACAGCAAGCUGCAGAAAACUGGAUUAAAUUAAAAGGGAAACCACAUCAACGUAAUCAGAAAAUUAGUAGCAGUUGGAUUCUUAUUCGAACCACAAAUGAAUGAGUCAGGAACAACACUAGUGAAAUUAAUGACACUUUGGAG